AAUACAUGCAAGUCGAACGGAGAGCCACUAGUAAUUUAUUACCGGUGGUUUCUUAGUGGCGAACGGGUGAGUAUCGCGUUGGUGACCUGCCCUGAAGUGGGGGAUAACUCCGGGAAACUGGAGCUAAUACCCCAUACGGUUUCGAGGAUUAGAUCCCUCGUCUCCAAAGGCUUCGGCCGCUUCGGGAGGGGCCUGCGUCCCAUCAGCUUGUUGGUAGGGUAACGGCCUACCAAGGCUAAGACGGGUAGGGGGCCUGAGAGGGUGACCCCCCACAAUGGAACUGAAACACGGUCCAUACACCUACGGGUGGCAGCAGUAGGGAAUAUUGCCCAAUGGGCGAAAGCCUGAGGCAGCAACGCCGCGUGUGCGAUGAAGGCCUUCGGGUUGUAAAGCACUUUUCUGAGGGAAGAGGAAGGACGGUACCUCAGGAAUAAGGCUCAGCUAACUACGUGCCAGCAGCCGCGGUAAAACGUAGGAGUCAAGCGUUAUCCGAAUUUACUGGGCGUAAAGCGCGUGUAGGCGGUGCGGUUAGUUGGAUGUGAAAGCCCCGGGUUCAACUGGGAGAGGUCGUUCAAUACUGCCGCACUAGAGGGACGGUAAAAGGAGGUGGAAUUCCCGGUGUAGUGGUGAAAUGCGUAGAUAUCGGGAGGGACACCAGUGGCGAAGGCGGCCUCCUGGGCGUUCUUGAAGCUCAGACGCGAAAACUAGGGGAGCAAACGGGUUU
rnacentral:rRNA from 1 species